UUAAAACUAAACUAAUGGCGUACGAGAGAGUAGGAUGUGGACGCGUGUACAAGAUUAUUACCCGCCUCUGUAAUCAAACUUCUACAAACUCUUCUUGUCAUUCCUUCGUUUAUCAAAUGUACUGUUGAUUUCAGGUUCUCUUGUUGUUGCCGACGGUAUGGCCAAUGGCUGGUACGGCUAUGUAUGAGUUAGUGCUUAGUACUUAGUAAAAUAACUUAAUUGGUGAAAUUAUUAGGCUGGAAGGCCACGAUCCAAGGUUUGCUCUCAUCUGCUUAUUUUGGUAUAACUUGUUUAAAGUCAAUCAUCUCAUUUUGAUACAUUUCAGAUGGUUGUCUGUUAGGCAUAGGAUCUCUGGACUUGCAUCUUGCUACUAUCAGUAGAGCUUGGACCAGGAAUAUUGGGAAAUAUCUUUUAUGGAAGUUGGCUUCAGUUGGAAACUUAAAAAAUUUAGAUUGGAAAUAACAUUAUCAGUUAAGAGAUUCGAGCUUCUCACUGUUGCUGGAUAUCAAUCUGGUAACUUUUACAAAGGCCUUUGAACUUGAAGACUAUUGCAAAACCAUAUGGUCAUGUAUACAUCUCUGGCGGGUUCGUCUGUUCCAGCUCUUGACAAAGAGUGUCCUUCUGAGUUCCAGCCAAAUAAAUUUGGUAUUGUGUUUUGCCGCACAACGUUACUUUGUUGAGGUCUUCCUUCACUUCCUUCACUUGGAUGCUAAACUUGAGUCCAUUAAUCCAGGUUUUGAGCCAAAAAGAAAAAUUAUGUGGCUCUUGUGUAGAUUCUGUAAUAUAUUGGUCACUCUUUCUCUCUUCAUGAUUUCAUUUGUUUGUUGGUACAGACGAAAUGAAUGUAGGAUUUUGUACUCAAACUCAAUACGAAGAAAUUUUGCAAGAAAAUGUGUUCUUUUGGCAUUAGAGAGUAGAGAGGUGGGUGGGGAUUACAUAAUUGAAAUGUUGUAGGAA